rnacentral:pre_miRNA from 1 species
AAAAAAAUCACUUGGGGAUCUUAUUAAAAUACUGAUUCUGAUUCAGUAGCUGUGGGGUGAGGCCCAAGAUCCUGCAUUUCUAACAAGCUCCUGGGUGAUAUCUUU